GGGUCAGUAGGUUGGUCGUGCCUCCGGUACGUACUGGUCUCACUGAUUCCUCCUUCCUGAAGAACCGUAACGCCAUUAAUUUGGUGUUGCGGGGAAACAGGACUGUUACUUUGAAAAAAUUAGAGUGUUUAAAGCAAGCUAACGCUUGAAUACAUUAGCAUGGAAUAAUGAAAUAGGACGAUCGAUCCUAUUUUGUUGGUUUCUAGGAUUGACGUA
rnacentral:rRNA from 1 species